rnacentral:pre_miRNA from 1 species
UGGGGUCUCAGAGAGAGCAUUCUGUGUAUUUUACAUAAUGCCCUUUGAAAUCCUAAA